rnacentral:lncRNA from 10 species
AACUAUAUUAAAAUUACUGUAACCCAAUGUGCUUCAUGCACUAUCUGGCAUCCAAAGGAUCCUCUUUCGCCCAUGUUGGGGUUUUCGAAACUGGAAAGAAGACUGAUUUCUGCAAUUAUAUAUUCAUUUUAUGUUUUUGAAAAUAACACACAUAUUCAAACUAGCACGUGUAAUAGAGAAAUUUCCUAAAAUUUGUACACUGAGUAAACCAUAUUUUUCUAAUGAUUUCGUUGAUAGAGCAGCUUUCUAGAUGCAGCCCUGUUCACAUGUGACUGGUAUUUACCUUCUUUCAUCAAACAUGUCUUUAGAAUCGACUCAAGGCAAGAUGCAGUAGAGAAAUGUAAGAGCCAACUAGAGGAGCCAUUUAACUACUAGGUGCAUCUUCUCCAGCAAGUUCUUCAGCAUCCUUUCCAGAAGCAUUCGACAGCCAAGGAAGCAGGCUACGCCUCACCUACUCCUUCCUGGGCUAAAGAUCUCAGACUUAGUUGCUUAAUUUGGGAAAAAUAAAUUAAAGAAGUCUUCUAUCAUUAUACGCAACAUAGAAUA